rnacentral:lncRNA from 1 species
GAAGGUCCCCGCCUCUAAGCGCGCCCCGAGCAGCCCCGUGGCUAAGCCGGGUCCUGUCAAGACGCUCACUCGGAAGAAAAACAAGAAGAAAAAAAGGUUUUGGAAAAGCAAGGCGCAGGAAGUAAGCAAGAAGCCAGCAAGCGGCCCCGGUGCUGUGGUGCGACCUCCAAAGGCACCAGAAGACUUUUCUCAAAACUGGAAGGCGCUGCAAGAGUGGCUGCUGAAACAAAAAUCUCAGGCCCCAGAAAAGCCUCUUGUCAUCUCUCAGAUGGGUUCCAAAAAGAAGCCCAAAAUUAUCCAGCAAAACAAAAAAGAGACCUCGCCUCAAGUGAAGGGAGAGGAGAUGCCGGCAGGAAAAGACCAGGAGGCCAGCAGGGGCUCUGUUCCUUCAGGUUCCAAGAUGGACAGGAAGGCGCCAGUACCUCGCACCAAGGCCAGUGGAGCAGAGCACAAUAAGAAAGGAACCAAGGAAAGGACAGAUGGUGAUAUUGUUCCAGAACGAGGGGACAUCGAGCAUAAGAAGCGGAAAGCUAAGGAGGCAGCCCCGGCCCCACCCACCGAGAGAAGAGCUUGAAGUUGUUCAGAAGGAAGUGGCAGAGAUGCUGAAGGGCAGAAUUCUAGUGGGGCACGCUCUGCAUAAUGACCUAAAGGUACUGUUUCUUGAUCAUCCAAAAAAGAAGAUUCGGGACACACAGAAAUAUAAACCUUUCAAGAGUCAAGUAAAGAGUGGAAGGCCGUCUCUGAGACUACUUUCAGAGAAGAUCCUUGGGCUCCAGGUCCAGCAGGCGGAGCACUGUUCAAUUCAGGAUGCCCAGGCAGCAAUGAGGCUGUACGUCAUGGUGAAGAAGGAGUGGGAGAGCAUGGCCCGAGACAGGCGCCCCCUGCUGACUGCUCCAGACCACUGCAGUGACGACGCCUAGCAGUCCUGCCCUGCUGCUGCUGCCGCCCCGCUACAGAGGCAAUGUGACCAGUCACAGGGACAGAUCACAUCUCCCCAGAGUGGCAACUCUGGUGAAACCUUUUCAGAAUCAUGGCAGAGGGGCGUGGCGUGGUGCUACUGAGAAGGUCCUCCUUCCUCUUGACUUUGUGGUCUGAAACCUGGUCUUACUGUCCAUGUGUGUUUGGGCCCGGAUGGUCAGGGUGGGGAGCAGGGACUGCCAUGGGCACGCCUGGCCACGCUUUACCGACUGCUGACCCCCUGGGCAAGGUGAGGUUGGGGCCUGUGGGCCGCCAGUCCAUACGGUGCUGUCACCGCCCAUCUUUGGUGACACCCUGGGGUGAGGUGCUCAGCACCUUCCUCUCGAGGAGCCACAUUUUCCUCCUUUGUGUUAGGGGACAUAACAAGCUCUGCUGGGCUUGAGGGACCCAGACCAGGUGUCUGCAGUCAGCUCCUGAGACACAGCUGGCCGGCACAACAGGUGUUACAUCAGGGGUUUCCUGUGGCCGUUUGGACUUUGAGCAUUUAUCUAAAUGAAAUUGGCCCAGGGUUGGCUGGUGGGUCACCCAGCAGAGGCUUCUCCCCAUAGCACGAGGAUGUGUUGCCUGGGCACGGUGACUGCGGUUAUUCCUGGAGGUCGGCAGACAUGCCAACCUUGGGCUAUUUGAGCUGGAGAAGCUAUGUGAUGCUAGCCGGUGGCUUUCUGGGCUAGGCCCCAGUUUGAGGCUCCCCUGGGAACUAGAGUCAGGAACAGCCAGUGGCACCGACAAGGGGACGGAGUCCAAGGCGUUAUUGGACCACCUGACAGCUGGACAGAAAAGGGGCAGACACACCGAGGAUGCGAUUUAAAAUAAAUGCAGAUGUUGACUUGGAAUGGAGCCUGUGGAGGCUCAGUGUUGACUCUCAUCUAGAAUGGUCUGGAAGGACUGCUCUGUCCAGGGGCGAGGUCUAUAGAGACUGCAGAAUUAAGUAUCCCACUGGCCAGUCACAGCCUCUUGCCAGAAAUGAUUAAGGCAGAAACUGGCCUUGGGCCUCUUUAUUAGUCACCUAAGAGGAGUGUGAGGUGCGCAUUCUGGU